AGUUCUCGGAUCCCUCAGAGCCCACGGAACCCUCAGAGCCCAGGGAGCCCUCAGAGUUCUCGGAUGCCCACGGAGCCCUCAGAGCUCUCGGAGCUCUCAGAACCCUCCGAGCCCGCGGAGGCCGCAGAGCUCUCAGAGCCCUCAGAGCCCACGGAGCCCUCAGAGCCCACGGAGCCCUCAGAGCUGUCGGAGCCCUCAGAACCCUCCGAGCGGGGCCGCGGGGCUGCGGCAGCGGGAGCAGCGAUCCGGGCUCCUAAAGCCGCGCUCCCGUGAGCCGCUGUCCGGGUGUGACCCCGCGCCUACAGACACCUGCCCAACGCCACCGAACCACAGCUCCAAACGGCGGCACCAGUCUCCGCUUCCUUCCCUGUUUGUGGAAAGAUAUUUGAAGAUUUAUUUGACAAACUCCUCUAGACAGUGA
rnacentral:lncRNA from 12 species